UGUGAGCUGUGUCAGAGGCAGCAAAAGCCUUUGGCUUACCCUGGUGCCUGCGCAGCCUCGGGCAAGCUCCUUCUCCACAAUCCUCUCCUCCACUCUGUGGGUGGUGUUGACAUGCAGCCUCAUUUGGAUGGCCUAGGCCGUGGUGAUGCUGUCACUGGGCCCACUGUGACAUGGCCAGCACUGAUGUGUGGUGAUGGCUGAUGGUGAUGUCAUGGCCAUGGCAUGUGGUGAUGUUGCAGUAGUGGCUUCUUUGGAGGGGAUGGGAUUAACUUUUGCAGGGAAUGAAUUUUUUAUGUGUGGUCAAAUGGGUAUGGGUGGCCCAUCGCUGUAUGAGCUGUGGCUGAGCAGUGAGUGGUGAGGCCUGUCAUGCUGCUGAGCCCCAGCACUAGGGAGCAGGCUGGUGGCAGCAGCUGCUGGAAGGAGACACAGGUGGGACAGCAGGUCCCCCAAUCCCGGGCAGAAGAGCCUGCACCUGAGUUCUCGUCUCGGUCUCAGGCUGCACAACUGUAACUUGGUGCUGCUGCUGUUGGAGUGGUGACUCCUGGGCCAGCUGGUUGUGAGCCAUCAUGGUCUUUUCAUCUCCUGUAGGAUUUAUUGUGAUUUGUUUUGCUGGUUGAAGCAUCUCAUCCCACAAGUCUUUGUCCUUUUGUGUCCUGUGCCAACUCUGACAUCCGAAUCAAGUUGCAGGCUAGGAUGUGUUCAAUGUCCCAUCAGCAUUCUUAGAUCGAAGGAUAUAAAAACCUGCCCAAUCAUGGUUUCUGCUCCUGCCCUGUCAGGCAUUCAGCUCCCACCCACAGCAGUGUUAAGCCAUGCCAUAGGUGUGGGGAAUUGCAUCUGGAAAGCUGACGGGUGGAAAAGGACCUGCGGGUGGUGGUUGACAGCAGCUGACUGUGAGGUGACAUGUGCCUGUGUGACCAAGCAGGCCAUUGGCAGCUGGCCCUGUAGCAACAUUAGUGUGGGCAGCAGGAGCAGGGCAGUUCUCAUCCCUCUCUGCGUGGGCUGGUGAGGCACCUUGAAUUCCUGAGUUGCUUUUGGGCCCCUCACAAUAAGAAAGACAUCGAGGUCCUUCUGCAUGGUCAGAGAAUGGAACAGAGCUGGGGUAGGAUCUGGAGCAGACGUUUGAUGAUGAGCAGCUGAGGGGGAUAUAGGGCUGAGCCUCCAAAAAAGGAGGCUUGGAGGGAAUCUUGGUGUUCUACAACUGCCUGGAAGGAUGUUGGAGCCAUUUUGGGGUUUGUGUCUUGUCUUAGGGAACAGGUUUGUGUAUUUACGAAACAAACAGGAAAUGCACAAGGUUAGUCCUGAGAUGCUGAAAUGUAGCCCAUACUUUUGAAUAAAUAAGAAGCAGAUGAGAAUUAAAAGCAGUUCCUAGUGGUGGUCCCUACCAAUGAUUAUUUUGCUGAUAAGUGAUCAUGUAUUUAUUAAUAUCAGUCAAGAACUUUGUCAAGGUGUGGCAAAUUUGGAGACUUCUCAGAUAUGAAAAACUUCUGAAGAGUUUUCAUAGUCUUGGAGGUCAACUCUAGCCCUCAUUUUUGCAUACGCUGACAUUUAUUUGGUUUUACCUUGUGGGACUGUAUAUGUGGAGCUUGGUAUUGUCCCAACAGUCCCAGGAGACCUGGAGGCAGUGGCUUUGUUCCCUCUUUGGACAGCUGGGAUGCGCUGGGUGAGCUGCAUCUCUGUGCCCAGAUGGCACCCAUAUCCUGGCCACAGCUUCUGUUUCAAAAUCCUCAAGUGGUUUGUGUGCUGCAGCUGCCUUGGCCAAAUUCUCUCUGCAUCCUGCUUCCCAAAGAGCCAGUCUGGGCUAUCCCAACAGCCCCAGUCCCAGGUAACCAGCUGGACCCCACCCUACCUUCAGUGAUGGCACACAUUUAUAACAUUCCUGCUGAAUGUCUGGGCUUGCAGCUUCUGACUCAACACAGCAACUCCUUUCUCACCAGCUGCCUGGGAGUAGUUGGUAUUUACAGACCUGCAGGGCAAAAAAAGAGAUUAAUGUGCUUGUGUCAGCCUUGCCCUCACUGAAGAUGGGCUGCGAAUGCUACUGAGGCAGUGGUGAAGCAAUCUGAAUAUAAUAUGUCUGUGAUAAAUUAAUUAAAAUUUAAAGUUUGUUGGUUUUCCUUUAUGAAUCCCAAAAAAGCAAGAGGCACUGUAUAUAGCACAGGUGGUGUAUUGCCAGGCAAGGAAACAGAGUUAACAAAGCUUGGAAGGACUCAAAUCUGGAAGGAAAGCCUCUGUCAUGGAGCAGAAGUGAGGGAUACUGAGAGAAUAAUUAAAAAGUGAUAAUUUUUUCAUUGCCUGUACUGUUGUCUCUGGGGACACGAGCUUUCCCCCAGGGGUUUUGUGGAAACUGCUGAGUUUUGUUUCUUUAGGGAAGAGUUUUCAGUUAAUUUUGAGAUUUUUGGUUAAUGUACUAAUGAGUGUGGUGGGUUGAGUGUUGGUUAAUUACUAGUGUAUUUACUUGUGAGGGAAGAUUAGGAGAAAGGUAAAAUACGUUUAAAACUUUAAAAGGAUAUAAAAAAUUUUAUUAAGAGUAACUAAGUAAUAAAAAUCAGAACAAAACUAGAACACUUUUCUUGAUAACUUUGUUUUCUUACUAAUAAUGUAAAGAAAUAAAACUUAAAAUUUUAUUUAGUUCACUACUUUUAAAACAAUUUUUUUAGUUUACUUAGGGAGAGAAGUUCUUUUUGUUAAGGUUAUGGAAACUUUUCUAAAAGAAAAAAAACAGUUAUUUUGUUACUUCAAUUAAUAAUAAAUGCACUUUUACCCUCACCCCCGGUUUAUCACCCAUUCUGUGCAUUAUCUGAGUGCUCCGAUGCUGUAGUGUCUUGGAGUCCAGUCUGUUUGGCUUCUUCUAAAAUCUGCCCAAAGCACCCAGACAACACCCCUGUGUGUGGGCAGAGCUGGGUGAUGAUCCCUGCGAUCAUCUCCUGGCUGAGGAAGGGGAGAGGCUUGUCACAGCAGGCUCCUGGUGUGCCCUGCACAUGGCCCUGUGAGGAGCCAGCUUUCCCUCAGAGCCCCAAAUCCUGCUGAGCCUGGGAGGCAGCAGAAGCUCAGGUACACGUGAUUAAGGCACUCUUAAUUUGGGGGCCAAUUCCCUCCCUUACAGCAGAGGUGACUCUUGUAGUGAGACUGCACAUCCCAUGGCUUCUGUCCUCCUUAAAACACCUGACUGGUGGGGCACUCACAAAGAGUAACCUUUCAUUUUCCAGCAGGUAUUUUCAACCAGACCAAAAAUUUAAUGUAUUACAUUCAUGAACUGUUGAAUAGGAUUCUUGAGUAGGACUCUUGAAUGCCACCCUGUGCCUGAGAGCAGUGUCCAAGCCCUCCUGGAGCUGUGGUGGCUUUGGGGCCAUGACCAUUCCAUGGGGAGUCUGUUCUGAAGUACAGGACACACUUUACAAUGCUGGAGGUCUGUUCAGAACCAUGAUAUGAAAUUGGUAUCCCCAGAUAGGAAGCAGAAAACAGGAGUCCACAUAAGGGGUGAAAAUGCUCCUGCAGUGAGCCCUCUGUAAGUGAAGAGGACAAAUCCAUGCCAGACAACUGGUGAUGCAUUUGAUAAAAAUCCUUAUUGGCUCAUUUUUCAUUCCUGACCUCAACAAGCAGUUGGACCAUGGAAUGCUGCAGCCUCCCAGAAGCUGGAACUCCACCAGUUUCAAAGCUGGUAUUUUCCUUUUGAUGGUUCAGCUUAUGAUACCGAGUUGGAUUUGAACAGCGGCCCAGGUUUUAUGAGGUUAAAGGCAAUGGAGUUGCACUGUGCACCUGAUGGCGAGGCAGGAGCAGGCAUUUAUAAACAGGGAUAUUAUCAGGAACAGCACAGUUGGCUGGAAAAACACAUCCAAGCUUGCAAGUGCUGAGUUUUACUACUGGAAACCAUAAAUUUUACUGCUAAAUUUUGUUUUGAAUUUAGUUUCCAUGAGGAAACAAAACUGCACCCAAUGACCACCCCAUCUAGUCCCAGGGUGACAAAAGAUGAGUCUCAAAUUUUUCUAGGAAUUCCUCUGCAAAUCUUCAUGCCUUCCCUCUCAGCCUGCACCUAAGAGGGUGGGGAUAAGAUAUAUACAGAUAAAUUGUUGGAGGCACAGAGGAGCUGAACUGCUUCUUGUCACACAUAAAGUCUGCUCCAGAGCAUGGAGACUUGGCUUUGAUUUGCAAACCCCAGCCCUCUGCACUAACCAGGGCACAAUAUUUCCUUGUUCUUCUGCCUUCUGAAAGGGCCACUGAGGGUUUGGCUAAGAGCCCUUUUUAAUAAAUGGGGCAAAAAGAGAAAAGAGAAUGAACACUUUGGCUUAUCAAGUGUUGUUUGCUGAAACUGAGCACUGGAUUGUGGCUCCCAGAUCAGAGGUUGGCUCUGUUGUGUGUUUGUAUGUUGUCUAACACAGUGGAUAAUUAGUCCCAGUUGGGAUACUUUGGAUGUACAAAUUAUGCAAAUAUAUUUGCUACAAGUAAUAAAAAGAGUUUAAAAAAUGGGUAAA